rnacentral:rRNA from 1 species
UGUUACAAUGGGGGGUACAGAGGGCCGCUACCACGCGAGUGGAUGCCAAUCCCCAAAACCUCUCUCAGUUCGGACUGGAGUCUGCAACCCGACUCCACGAAGCUGGAUUCGCUAGUAAUCGCGCAUCAGCCACGGCGCGGUGAAUACGUUCCCGGGCCUUGUACACACCGCCCGUCAAGCCAUGGGAGCCGGGGGUACCUGAAGUGCGUAACCGCGAGGAGCGCCCUAGGGUAAAACUGGUGACUGGGGCUAAGUCGUAACAAGGUAGC